AGUGAACGCUGGCGGUAGGCCUAACACAUGCAAGUCGAACGGCAGCACAGUAAGAGCUUGCUCUUACGGGUGGCGAGUGGCGGACGGGUGAGGAAUACAUCGGAAUCUACUUUUUCGUGGGGGAUAACGUAGGGAAACUUACGCUAAUACCGCAUACGACCUACGGGUGAAAGCAGGGGAUCUUCGGACCUUGCGCGAUUGAAUGAGCCGAUGUCGGAUUAGCUAGUUGGCGGGGUAAAGGCCCACCAAGGCGACGAUCCGUAGCUGGUCUGAGAGGAUGAUCAGCCACACUGGAACUGAGACACGGUCCAGACUCCUAAGGGAGGCAGCAGUGGGGAAUAUUGGACAAUGGGCGAAAGACUGAUCCAGCCAUACCGCGUGGGUGAAGAAGGCCUUCGGGUUGUAAAGCCCUUUUGUUGGGAAAGAAAAGCAGCAGGUUAAUACCCCGCUGUUCUGACGGUACCCAAAGAAUAAGCACCGGCUAACUUCGUG
rnacentral:rRNA from 1 species